GUUGUUCCCGUCUUUACUUUUUCAGACACGAAAGAUUCUUGCAGCAUGUGAGAAGAGCCUGACAGAUGCUCACCAACUGAACUACGACCCCCACAAUCCCUUUGACAUCUGCCCAGCCUCUUUCACUCCCCUGUACCGUGGGCGGCCAGUGGAGAAAUGUCCCCUGUCUGGAGCCUGCUACUGCCCCAAAUACAAAGGAGAGGUCUGCACGGUCACACUGGUAACCGAGAUUGGUAAAGAUGUGAUCGGAUUGCGUGUCAGCCCACUGCAGUUCCGUUGAACACACAUUAUAUAAGCAUGGAUGAAAACAGAUAUGCUUCUCUCUCACGUGUACUUUUCCUUUAUAAGAUAAAGUAAUGAAAACUAAGAUCAGAAAAUUCUAGAAAAUACCUUGUUACAUGACUAAUCUUCCUGUGACUGUGCUUUCUAUUAUUAUCUCUGAGGUCUCUACAGUAUGUGUGCUUGUUUCAUUAAUCUGAAUAACCAAGUGUACAUCUGUGACCCUGUCAAUCAGUGCAAAACAAGUUUCCUUUCCUGUGAAACUCUUUAAAUGUUGAAAUAAAAUUCUGGUAAACAAA